rnacentral:piRNA from 1 species
UUUACGGGAAACUUUUUUUGG